rnacentral:antisense_RNA from 1 species
UAGUUCAGCACUUUCCACUGCUGGUUGACAGCCUGCCACCGUUUAAAGAUGCGGUACACCGAGGGUCCUUCAUGGAUGAUGAGACCUGAGGCAGCAGGGAGAGGAGAAACAGAGGCCAAAUGAGAGGAAGUGGGUCACGGCCAGGAGACCACAGUCUCUCUGAAUCUAUGCAAGGGUCUCUCUCUGUUGCCCAGGCUGGAGUGCAGUGGUGCGAUCAUGGCUCACUACAGCCUCGACCUCCUGGUUCAAGCGAUUCUCCCGCCUCAGCCUCCCAAGUAGCUGGGACUUCAGGCACACACCACCAUGCCCGGCUAAUUUCUGCAUUUUUUAUAGACACAGGGUUUUGCCAUGUUGCAGACUGAUCUCAACUCCUGAACUCAAGCGAUCCUCUUGCCUCAGCCUCCCAAACCCCUGGGAUUACAGGCAUGAGCCCCUGAGCCCAGCUGCCUUUCACACUCUACUGUGCAUCAGAAUCACCCAAAGAGCUUGUUAAGACAGAUUCCCAGGCUGCAAUCUUGGAGGCCUACUGGCUUAGUAGCUCUGGGCUGAGGCCUGAGAAUAUGCAUUCCUAAGAAACCUCAGGUGAGGCUGAUGCUGCCUGUGUGUGGACUGCUAGGCUAGGACAUGGUUUUUAUUCCUCACAGAAGGUUCUAAAUUUUGAUCACAAAACUUAUUAUUUAAAAAGUAAUCUACUUCCAGAUGUCAUAGACAUGGAAAUGGGAAGAAACGGAAGAAAUAAAUACUUCCUCUCCUAGACCCAAAGGCCUUUGUGCCC